rnacentral:rRNA from 1 species
UUGAACGCUGGCGGAAUGCUUUACACAUGCAAGUCGAGCGGCAGCGCGGGGGCAACCCUGGCGGCGAGCGGCGAACGGGUGAGUAACAUAUCGGAACGUACCCAGUAGUGGGGGAUAACUAUCCGAAAGGAUAGCUAAUACCGCAUACGCCCUGAGGGGGAAAGUGGGGGAUCGCAAGACCUCACGUUAUUGGAGCGGCCGAUAUCGGAUUAGCUAGUUGGUGGGGUAAAGGCUCACCAAGGCGACGAUCCGUAGCGGGUCUGAGAGGAUGAUCCGCCACACUGGGACUGAGACACGGCCCAGACUCCUACGGGAGGCAGCAGUGGGGAAUUUUGGACAAUGGGGGCAACCCUGAUCCAGCCAUGCCGCGUGAGUGAAGAAGGCCUUCGGGUUGUAAAGCUCUUUCAGACGGAAAGAAAACGCAUCGGUGAAUACCCGGUGUGGAUGACGGUACCGUAAGAAGAAGCACCGGCUAACUACGU